GAUGAACGCUGGCGGCGUGCCUAAUACAUGCAAGUAGAACGCUGAAGGCAGGAGCUUGCUCUUUCCGGAUGAGUUGCGAACGGGUGCGUAACGCGUAGGUAACCUGCCUGGUAGCGGGGGAUAACUAUUGGAAACGAUAGCUAAUACCGCAUAACAGUAGAUGUUGCAUGAUAUCUACUUAAAAGGUGCAAUUGCACCACUACCAGAUGGACCUGCGUUGUAUUAGCUAGUUGGUGAGGUAACGGCUCACAAAGGCGACGAUACAUAGCCGACCUGAGAGGCGGAUAGGCAAAGCUGGGAGUGGGACAGGGCCAACAACCCUAGGGGAGGGAGCAGGAGGGGAUCUCCGGGAGAGGAAGGAAGGGGGAACGAUGAACGCCGGGCGAGUGAAGGAGGUAGUCAGAUCGGAAAGCUCAGGUGUAAGAGAGGAACGAAUGGGAGAGUGGAAAGUGAAGACAGUGACGGUACCUGACGAGAAAGCGACGGCUAACUACGUG
rnacentral:rRNA from 1 species